CAAUAGCGUAUAUUAAAGUUGUUGCGGUAAAAAGCUCGUAGUUGGAUUUCUGUUGAAAAGAUCCGGUCAUCUCAAUGAGAUUGUAUCUGGUAUCGUUUCGGCAUCCUCUCGAAAGACGUUUCUGCGCUUGAUUGCGUGGAGCGGAUCUCGGGACUUUUACUUUGAGGAAAUUAGAGUGUUCACGGCAGGCAUACGCCUUGAAUAUAUUAGCAUGGAAUAAUACUAUAGGAUUUCGGUUCUAUUUUGUUGGUUUCUAGAGCUGAAAUAAUGAUUAAUAGGGACAAUUGGGGCAUUCGUAUUGACGAGUCAGAGGUGAAAUUCUUGGAUUUCGUCACGACGAACUACUGCGAAAGCAUUUGCCAAGGAUGUUUUCAUUGAUCAAGAACGAAAGUAAGGGGAUCGAAGACGAUUAGAUACC
rnacentral:rRNA from 1 species